ACCAGCAGCCAUACCACCCUCACAACUGGCAGCCCACUGAAGCUCAGCAGGUGUGAGCCUGGUCAGUACCUGGAUGGGAGACCUUCUGGGAAAGCUAAGGUUGAUGCUGGAA
rnacentral:rRNA from 1 species